GGGGAAUAUUGCGCAAUGGGCGAAAGCCUGACGCAGCGACGCCGCGUGAGGGACGACGGCCUUCGGGUUGUAAACCUCUUUCAGCGCCGAAGAAGGGAAACUGACGGUAGGCGCAGAAGAAGCACCGGCUAACUACGUGCCAGCAGCCGCGGUAAUACGUAGGGUGCAAGCGUUGUCCGGAUUUAUUGGGCGUAAAGAGCUCGUAGGCGGUCUGUCGCGUCGGAUGUGAAAACCCGGGGCUCAACUCCGGGCUUGCAUUCGAUACGGGCAGACUUGAGUGUGGUAGGGGAGACUGGAACUCCUGGUGUAGCGGUGAAAUGCGCAGAUAUCAGGAAGAACACCGGUGGCGAAGGCGGGUCUCUGGGCCACUACUGACGCUGAGGAGCGAAAGCGUGGGGAGCAAAC
rnacentral:rRNA from 1 species